UGAAGAACUUUUUCUACAAAGAAAUGUGUAUAAUAGAGAAGUACUGAUAUCAUGUGGAAAAAUUCACGUUAGUUUAUUUAACUGGACAAAGCUACAAAUUAUGCGUGUAUUAAACAGUAAUAGUUGUAACAUUUUAAUGUACCUGUUGCAGGCAAGAACCAACUCUCUGAUCAGGAUCGCAGUUAACUUCUUGGCCUCCUUCGUAGUGUAGCAUCUGCACAUGAUAGAGAAACAUGUGAGGCAGCAAUAAGUAAGCUCAGGGACAGUGUCUUGUAUAAGAGUAACACAGCUGUUCGAAACUAUGUUGAGAAAAGGUGGCUCAAUAUUAAAGAGGUAGGGUUUACAACAGUGUCACCUUGAGAAUAUUCUUUUGAUGUCUGUGCAUUGUCACAGUGGGAAUUAGAAUUAAUUGUAGUGCUUUUAUAUACAUUGACAGUAAAGGUAUUUUUGAUGUAGUGUAAAGAAAGGUCAGAAAGGUAUUUAUGUAGUGUAAAGGGAGAUCAGAAAGGCUUUUUUUGCUUGGUACUUGUAACUAGAUUUAAAAGUUUUUUGUUUUUUGUUUUUUUCUCCCAGAGGUGGUGCAGAGGAUUCUCCCCUCAUGGAUUUAAUGUAUCUGUAACCACAAACAAUGGCAUCGAAGCAAUGAACAACUCCCUGAAGAGCUUUUACCUGAAGAUUUCGGGCACUAAAACAGUAUCAUCUUUGAUUGAAAUGAUCGUUACUGAAUUCAUCCCAGAGCAGCUCUUCUCAUAUGCUAAACUUAAUUACAUGUACAGCAGUCAAGCACAGAGUAUACAGUGCUGAUGUUCCUGAGUUCCUCUGGGACCGUCCAAGAUCUUUUGUGCAAAACUGCCUGAAAAACCUAGAGGCAGCUUGUUACUGUACCUUCCAACAGGUUCAAGAGCAGAGUAAGGGGCUUUAUAAAGUCCAGAGUGAGCAGUCAUGUGAAUGGUACUCUGUGGAUCUCGGAGACAAAGACCGUUUUCCGUCAUGUGAAUGCAGAUCUUUUAAUUCCACUUUUUUAUCCUGCAAGCAUUUUUUUUUGCUGUUUUCAAACACACUGACAGCUCAUGGUACUCAUUGUGCCCAGAUGAUAUCAGCAGUCCUUAUGUCACUCUUGACUCGGAUGUUGUGUCAAGUCAGAAACAUUUGGAGGUGAAGGAAGUGAUUGACAAGGACACUACUGUCUGCACCGAUAGCUUCGUGGGCAGCGCGCCAACAUGUAAGGACAAUACUGUACAUCCUAUUGCCAUAGACUAUUGUGACAUUCAGUGCUUGAAGACAGACAUGGAGGCAAAUUGAAGUUUCCACUGCACAGUGUGCCCUUCGAGAGAAAUUUAAAAUUCUCCAGGAUUUAUCAUACAUAUGCAUGGAUCAUGAGUUGUUACAUAAUGCAACUACAGUCAUUGAUGAACUUGCGGGAAAGAUGAAAUGCUCUGUUCCAAAAGAAGACUUACUACCACUUCUAAGUAACCAAGAUGACAUAAAACUGAAACUUUGCGUACUUCCACCAUAGAAAAGAAAAGGAAAGGUGAAAGCCAAAAAAAGGAGAAUUGAGAAAAGAAUCAGUGGUGAAACAGGGGACCAGUCUGGUUCUUUGAAAGAGAACUUGCUGACAGACUGCGCUAAAAUAGAUUUGCCAGAUGAGUAAGGCUGAGACACUUCUGGCAGAGCUGAUCAAGCAUGACAUUGCUGAGGUAGAAAUAGGGUGGCCAUUUCCAUAACACCAAAAAGGAGGACACUUUGCGGCAUUUAGUGAGGCAAGAAUAAUUGCAUAGGACUCUGGUGUACUCGCAACUACAAUGUACUCGUAAUAAAAUUUUUUCCAUUAUAUCGAUGAUAUCAUGAUACAGUGAUUCUGAAAAAGCCUACUCUAUUCAUUGCCGGACAAUUUGAUGUAGACCUAUGUGUAACAGAAGAGGUAAAAAGUGUUUGUUCACAGUAUUUUUAUUUAUUCAAGACAUUGUGAUGUCUGUUUCUGUUUCAGCAGGCUUGUUUACGUUUUUAACCAAUGAUAUAACAGAUAUUUAUUUGACACCGCUUUCAGCCAAUCGUUUGUUUGACCAGAUCUUACGGUAUUAGACGCUAUGCUGCUGCACAUUAAAAAAGAAAAUGUUUCCAAACUUUUCACUGAUAGUGUAUGUGCUUUUGACACCUAGCAACAGUGUCACGUGAUUUUACAGUAUUAUAAAACAUUAGCUUUUUUUUUCUUGUUUUAACUGAGUAAAAAUGAAACAAACACAACGAGGGCUUCUGCACGAUUACUAUUGAAGUCUUUUCGGGGCAUGUAAAUGGCGCAUGCUCCUUGACCUUGCGAAUAAGCCACGCCCUCGUGCUGUCGUCAGACUCGAAACCCCAAGUAUUUAGUCUGAGCCGUUUAGACUGCCCUAUCAAUCAUCUUGUCACAGUUAAAAUCCUCCACAUUGAAUUAAAUUUAAUUUCCUACCAUUUCGAAGAGAAAUGUAGUCGCACGUUUAUCUGCCAGUCAUGGGUCUUUCAUACAGAGAACUCUCCUCAUCUUUGUAAAAUGAUGCAUUUAAAAGUUAAAGGUGCCCUUGAGUGAUUUGAAAAAAACAUUUUAAAUUGUUCCCUGAUAUCUACAUAGAGGGUAUGUGGCUUUUUUAUGGCCGAAAAUUGUCCAGAUAUGGUUUUACAGCUCCAUUUAUAACCCCACAAAUAGCCCCUAGAAUGAAAAGGUCUGUUUUUGCCUUAUUUGGAAGGCUCAUGAAUAGUAAUAUGGUGCUCCGCUCUGAUUGGCUGUUUCACUGUUCGGCUCCUUCCAGUAGCUCACACUGAUAGCGAACAAAUCUGUACUGUACGGCGUGAACGAUGGAGAGUUUUGGUAUUCAACCUUAUAUGUUUGAGCCUGUUUCUGACGAAGAUGCAGAUGUAGAGGAACAACCAAUUUUGUUGCGAUUGGCCAUAGACGUUUCUGAGUGGUAAGUUAGUCUUUAUUUUCAGUAUGCACCUGCAAAACGUAACUGUUACGUCAAUGGAACUAGCAUAUAGCGUUAA